rnacentral:rRNA from 1 species
CCUACGUGAGGCAGCAGUAGGGAAUUUUCCACAAUGGGCGAAAGCCUGAUGGAGCAACGCCGCGUGGGUGAAGAAGGUCUUCGGAUCGUAAAACCCUGUUGUUAGAGAAGAAAGUGCGUGAGAGUAACUGUUCACGUUUCGACGGUAUCUAACCAGAAAGCCACGGCUAACUACGUGCCAGCAGCCGCGGUAAUACGUAGGUGGCAAGCGUUAUCCGGAUUUAUUGGGCGUAAAGGGAACGCAGGCGGUCUUUUAAGUCUGAUGUGAAAGCCUUCGGCUUAACCGGAGUAGUGCAUUGGAAACUGGGAGACUUGAGUGCAGAAGAGGAGAGUGGAACUCCAUGUGUAGCGGUGAAAUGCGUAGAUAUAUGGAAGAACACCAGUGGCGAAAGCGGCUCUCUGGUCUGUAACUGACGCUGAGGUUCGAAAGCGUGGGUAGCAAACAGGAUUAGAUACCCCAGUAGUC